CGCGACGGAGCCCGCCCAUCCGUCGAACCUGUCCUGUCCGCGGUCACCCACGCGGUGUUGAGAACGGGGGCUGCGUGCACGUGCGUGAGCCCGGAUCCAGGGCUGCCACCGGGCGUCUCCUCAGGGAGACAAGAGGGAAUAGCGGCCUCCGGCUGGCGAUGGAGCGUGGGGUGAGAGGGAAAAUGUGCCUUCUCCCUCGCGGGGCAGCUGCUUCGAGGACGGCGGGCACGUAGCGCUCCGCUCCCGCACACGCACUGGGGGCCGUGAGGCGGUGCUCAGACCGCGGGCAGGACGGCUCAGCGGCCGCUCCUUGGCACUCUCGUUUGAGGGCCGGGGUCUCGGAGGCGGUUGUGCCGCCCACGUGAGUCAGGCCCAGGGGGUUCGAGCACCUCGGCCGCCUACGUCGUGUCAGCCCGGCUCGGCGCUUCUCCCCCCGUCCAGGGCACGGCGGGCAGCGCAGCCCAGCUCGGGGCAGCGAGGCUCUCCUCGAGCGGAGCUUCGCCCCUCCACACAGCCCCACCGGGCCCCAUCACUUUGGACCCCACCGGGGCGCCCGCGACUCCCGCCCUCUGUCGGGCUGGGGCACGGCCGCCUGGCAGAGCGUCGCCCCGCUGACCCAGGUGCUGAGCCGGCUGAGGCGGCACGACCGUUAGCAGCACAGAACGUUCCAGAGCGCCUCGACCCGAAGAACGAACGGGGAAAAUCGUUGGCAUUCCUAGAUAUUUUGAGGAUUGGAUCCUACUUUGUGGGCAACAGUUGUUACCUACUGAACUUACAAUUCCACUUUUCACCUACAUCUACUCAAAGAAUGGCUUUUAACAGUACCACAUAAGGCCUGUCAAACCUGAUACUUUAUCCUCGGCAGUGGCCAAUAGAAGAUUCUCUGUGACAGAACACAGGAAGAAGCGUGAAAGGAGAGCUGCACAGUUGAUUCUUUAGCAGUAUUUAAGGUUUUUGUUAAAACGUUGUCAAGCGGGCAGCACUGCUUGUGUCUGUGCUUUUAUCAUCUGGAGAGGGUCUGGGAGCUAGACUGAGGAGGCUGUCCAGUUUGUUUUGGAGGUUAUUUGUUGACUGUAACUUCAGUAGCUGAAAGCAGGUGCUGCUUGGAAGACGCCGUAGGACUUGGAAUUGUCUAUGUCUGAGGAAGGAAGCUUUUUAGAAACCAUUGGCUCUUGCUGCCUCCUUCACAUGAAUAUAAUGAUGUUGCUCCAGUGUUCCACCAUGAAAAAUAUCAAUCAAGUCUCCUAGAUGUGCUUUGUGGGAGAAAAUAUGAGCAGUAAGGUGUGUGCCACCACUGGUAGCAUACACGAUUGUGUGCCACAAUGACAGAAUCUCUUGCUAUGGAGUAGCUGAAUGAACCAUUAAUUCAACCUUCCUUCUGAAAAGAGAAAGCUUAGUAGUCUUACUGAGUAUUGUACUGAUACUUAUCUAUGUAAAAUACUUUUUUUUCCUUAACGAAUUCCCAUUAAUUGUUUAUAGCUAACUCAAAUUUAUUCAAAAAGUUUUUGUGAUACAAUUUAUAAGAAUUCUUUGGGAUCUCUGGGUGCUUCCCAACUGUUGAAUUGUUGAUGUGUUUUGUUAAACUUCUUACUCUGAUCAUCACUUCAUGUAUUAACAUAUUCAUGAUGAGUGAAUGCAAAAGGGAACACAAAGACAAGAAACACAUUCAAAUAUUAAUUUGAGUGAAUACUUUUUGAAGAUUUGAUCUGGUGCUAUUCAAAAUGCGGUGCUUCUGAAUCAGGAGCAAUAAAGUCACAAGAGAGAGUGCUGGAAGUAAUCCAUGGACAUCCUGUUCUUAUUAGAAGUGGGCUAAAGCAUUCUGACAGAUUUCAAACCUGCUGAAAUAUUCUUCUUCUUUUUUUUUUUUUACUUCUUUUACACCAGCAUUACUGGGAGCACAUCUUACUUAUCUGUUUAAGGGUGGCUAUGAAAAAGGGAGAAGACAGAGAUAUAUUUGGUGAAAAAUAGGGUGAGAAAAGAAGCAGAGAGUUGACUGUGUGAAGAAAGAAAGAGACACCCUGGGAAAGCAGCAGAGAAAAGGGAAAGAAAAGAAAUCCUAAUUUUUUAAAAUAUGACUCCUUAGAACUGAGACUGUGCCAAACCCUGGACUUGGAGGCUAUUCUGUCCUUAAUACAUUGCACAUGAUUGUCUGUAGCUAGAAAAACAUUUUUUGUGGGUUUUGAAAAAUCAAAUUACCCUUAUAUGAAAUAAAACAAACUAUGAGUUUAUAUGGCAGAGUAAAAAGAAACCAAAUUCAUUUUGCAAGCCUUUAGAGAGUUUAAAAAUCCCUUAGGCUCACAAAAACUCAAACUCCGUAGCGUUCAAAUAUUCAAAUGUUGUAGGAGGUACAAUUGACUUAAUUCCAUUUACUUUAAUUAAGUUUUCAUCAGACUCUUUCUAUUUAGUUAACUGAUUCUCCUCUCAAGGCAUGUUUAUAUUAAGGGCAAGAUCCAAAAUACCAUAUGGAUACUUCCUGUGCAAUCUAGAUAGCCAUUAAGUAAGGAGAUUGGUUAUAAAACCUGUGUAACUUUAAAAGCUACAAGACUGUAGGCAGUUUGGUAUCCCUUAGGAAUGCCUUUCUGCUCCAUAUCUGAAGCAUGGGCCUCAAGCUUAGCAUCUUGGCAGACCAGCAGGGUCUGUUCUCAGAUGCCAUGCUGCCUACCUAAGCUUAUGACACUCAAACCUGCAAUGCCAGCUUGUCUUCUACAAAAGUGAUACCUAUUGAGUGGGUGACAAAACUGGGAUGUACAUGGAGUUAGAUGCUGAAACAAGGUGUGUAAAGCCUCUGAUAGGCAAUAGAGACACCAUGCAAUUGAGUGGAGGUAAGAACGGCUGUCCAGGGUCACGACAAGAAUUCACCCAGCCCUGCUACUUGACUGGCAGGGAGGCAUGAUGGUCAUGAAGGUGAUUUCCUAGGUAGGGCCUCAUUCCUUGUACUUCUGGUGACCUGACCACUGAAAAUUCUGUGAUUUAGGGAACUACACUGUAAAAUUUGUAAUGUGAGAUACUGUAUAUGUAUGUUUUCUUAAAUUAAAACACAAUCCCACCUCCAAACUCCCAUUAAUGUUAAGUGGAUGCCUAGAGUAGAACACAGUAAACAGUGAUCUGAUUGCAGCUUAAAUCUAUACCAACUUGGAACAUCUUUGAUGUUCCUUGUAAGGAAUUGCACCCAUUUCAUGAAAACUGUAUUUUUCAGUUCUGUUUGAAUUCUCAUUUGGGGCUUCAUUUGAUAUCCCCCACUCUUGAACUGGAAGAUUCAGCAAAACGUUGGUGCCAGACUACCUUCACCAUGACACGACUUCACACACUUCCGCCACAUCCCUCCUCAGUCAUCUGUUUCCCAGACUGCAGAGUCCCGAAUUGUUUGAUAGUUUCCUUGUAUGGAAGUUGUUGCAGACCUCUGACCAUAUGUCCUUGCUCUUUCCCAGUUUUUCUGUGUUACGUGCCUUCACUAUUGCUCUAUAGAAUAAUGUGUAGUUCAUUUUUCUUAGGAUACAUUUAUAUAUACAUUUGUAUAUAUGUGAGGCUAUGCAAGUACUUGCGAUGUUUUUCACCUGCUCUUCUACCAUGGAUAUCUUCUUCCACAGAUCUGUUUAUUUAUGAUUGUACCUGGACCAGGUUUGGGAAUUUGGGUGUCACAGAGUCACAGAAUUGUAGGGUUUGGGAGGAACCUCUGGAGAUCAUGUCCUACCUUCCAGGCCAGUAUGUGACCUCUUGACCAGAGCUGCACAGUCUCUUUCUCAGACUCAUUAAAGAAUGAGAUCAGCAGUUAUGCCGUGUACAAUGCAGCUGCUCCAAGGCACCCUUACUGCAGCCUGGCUCCAGCCCUACUGCUUUAGGUCAUCUCUGAGAUGACAGAGCUUGUGGUCUGUUUGGAACUGGGUGCUGGUUGUCCUUAUCUUCUAUAAUUGCUUAGCUGUUGUAACACUUUUUCUCUUCCUCCUCUAAGUGAAAUAGCAUCUACUGUGAUACUUCCUCAUGUGCUUGCUCCUAUGGAUGUACUGUGUGUGUCCAUGUGCCAGGCAGUGUUAGUAAGCAUGCAGAGUGAGACCUUGAGCCCCCUACAGACAGGUACCAAAUUGCGUUCCAAAAACACUGCUGACAAAAAUGGAGAUGAGAGGAUAUUUCAAGAUUUGCAGUUUGUGUUUAAGUGUUUUAUGUCUGCUUACAUCCAACUUAGGUGCCCAUGAUCUCAUGAGAAGCUAUUUCUUGGCCUCCUUACACAUAAGUAUUUCUAUCUUACAGAAGUAGUUCCCCAUCUGAGGUGGGUGCAUGGACACAGGUGGACUAAAUAUGCACUGAUACUAUCUUAUUUAGGACUGAGCAAGUCCGCAGUUUAACUGAAUCUGUAGUAGAUGUCACUGAAUUGCACAGAAGGCUGCUGAUAAGCUAUUGCAUCAUCAUAGGUGCCUACCACAUACAGCAGUUUCGACUUGGAUAUGAGGUCAAUAAUGUCCUCAGUGGCUGACAUAGGAGGCAGAGGUUACAGUAAGGAUCUGUCUCUACAGUUUCACAAAGAUAGUGUUACUGUUAUCCUUGCUUAACACAUCAGCUUGGGAUACAGAGUGAUUUUGAUGUAUGUAAGCCAUGAUCGCUCAAAGUCUUUGAAAGAGCCAAGAGGUGACAUCUGUUCUCCUGCAUCCUAGUAUGGUAAUUGGCCACUGAAGCCUUUUUUGUUCAUUAUUCAGAUAUUUUGGAAAAAUUAUUAUCACUGUUCUUAUGCUUUCUACUCUUCUCCUGAGAACAAAACAAAUCCUUCCGAGGGAAAAAAAGAGUUAGGUAAUGAUGGUCUGUGGAGUUGGUGAGGAUAAUCUUUCUUUCAGUGACUUGUCUUUUCCUGUAAGCACCUCCAAAUGUUAUUGCUCUCCAUGGAGCAGGUUUAUAAAAUAAUGGGUAAGUCAUACUAAUUAUCCUGUGAGCUGUAAGGGCUGCCUGCUUUUCCUUUAGAGAAAGUAAGUCAGCUUUCACAUCUUUGCUAAAAUUCAUAGCAAGAUAGUGAAGGAGCUCAUUUCUCACUGCAGUAAAGGAAGAAGGAAAUGGCAUAGAAGUUUGUCUCUGAAUUUGCCUAUUUCAGUCUGCAAAUAAUGAUUUGUAAAUAGAAUUUUUGGGUGAUAUUUUCUCUACCAUGUGCUAACAACACGCUGCUCUGUUCAGCUGCUUGAAACAAAUAGAACUGAUGCUGAAAAGUGAAAUAAAAGCAUCACUAAAUUAGCUGCAUAACAUCCAGAUCAAUGUACCUUUCUAAGAGCAAAAUAGCGGGUACUACUCUUCUUUGGGUCAUAGCAACUGGUUGAUCAGUGUCAACAGAUAUGUUAUAGCUCCAGAAUGAGCUAUGAAAAUGCCAAGGUUAGAUUUUCUUAUUUGAUACUUCAUCACAAAAUUUCAACCGGACUGGAUUCCCCACAGGGGAUCUUAAACUAGAAAUCCAGAUAUAUCUGGGAAUAACUUUAGUGAGCAAAAAGUGAUAAUAAUAAAAAUAAUGUGUACUUCGUAUAGAGGAGUAUAAGUGUUUUUCUAAAUACCAAUCAUUUCCAGUAAUAUCCAUUUCAUCCACUUCAUUUAUUAUGGUCUGUAUGAACCUCUUUGUAUCUGUGAAUACAGAAUAAAGAAUUCUGCUCUCAAAGCCUUGAAAGCUCUAUUACUAGUGAAUUCAUGAGGAAAAUGCUGCUGACAAAAUAUAUACAUAUAUAUUUUGACCCAUUGCCUCUUUAUCCCCAUUUAAGUGACUAGUGUUAACAUCACUGUCCAAGUAUAUUCACGCACAGGAGCUUUUACUUUGCUUUCCAUCACUGAGUAGCUGUGCCUACUGAACGUAGUUGCUAUCAUGUUAAAAGCAUGUGAGAUGACCUGCCCAAGUAUUCUCUUGCUGAUUCCUCUUUUCUGGAAUGUAUUCACAUAAAUGUUCCUUCUAACUUCCUUUGUUUAGUAAUGCGUGAGUGCUUACAUCCUGGUAUUGAAAUUAUUUUUUGCUUAUAGUUGAACUGAUGUCAUGCAUCAUACACACUAAUAUAAUGUAUAUUAUAUAUAGGUACUCAUGCUUUUUUUUUAGCCACUCUUUUAUGAAUAGUGAAGAAUGAAUGAGGACAUAUCAAGUUAUGUAAUUAUUGAUGUCUGCCUUGAGCACUGUAACCUGUUAAUGUCAAAAUAGAAACCUGCAUGGUUAUUACUGCAAAAUAAGGUCACAAAUAAGGAGUAGAAAUACUCAAAAUGCAUUGGAAUAUGAGGACAAGUAUAUAAUCAAAAGUUGUUGUCAGCUAUAUUAAAGAAAAUUAUAGUUGAUUUAACUUAAUGGUAUGUUCAUAUCUGAAGUAAGAAAUGCAUUAGUUUUGAAGAAGUUUAACCAAAGCUAUUUUACAGUACAGAAAAAUUUUAAAACAUACAUUGUACAGUUCAUGGAUCAGAUUUUUGUUUGUAUUCUGUUUAGAGCUACCAUUCGAAUGAUUUGUGAAUAACAUUCUGCAGGGUAUAUUUUUUAUUCUUCUGCCUCCAAAACAAGAAUUGUUUUUAUUUAUACAAAAGAAAAGCUUAAUCAAAAUAGAAUAUAAUGUAGUUCUGAACCAGGUAAUAUUUUUUUGGAAACAAUUAUCUGUUUAUUAAACAAUAAUGAUUUUCCUGUAGUUUUG
rnacentral:lncRNA from 1 species